ACAUCAGAGUGGAGCCAGUGACAUUGA
rnacentral:piRNA from 1 species